rnacentral:rRNA from 1 species
CCUACGGGUGGCAGCAGUGGGGAAUUUUGGACAAUGGGGGCAACCCUGAUCCAGCCAUGCCGCGUGUGUGAAGAAGGCCUUCGGGUUGUAAAGCACUUUCGGACGGAACGAAAUCGCGCGGGUGAAUAUCCCGCGUGGAUGACGGUACCGUAAGAAGAAGCACCGGCUAACUACGUGCCAGCAGCCGCGGUAAUACGUAGGGUGCGAGCGUUAAUCGGAAUUACUGGGCGUAAAGUGUGCGCAGGCGGCGUCGCAAGUCGAGUGUGAAAGCCCCGGGCUCAACCCGGGAACUGCGCUCGAAACUGCGGUGCUGGAGUGUGGCAGAGGAAGGUGGAAUUCCGCAUGUAGCGGUGAAAUGCGUAGAGAUGCGGAGGAACACCGAUGGCGAAGGCAGCCUUCUGGGCCAACACUGACGCUCAUGCACGAAAGCGUGGGGAGCA